rnacentral:lncRNA from 1 species
CUGUGCAUGUACAUAAACAUAUACAUCAUCAUAAACAUAACCCACACAUUGGAGCUCUCAUCAAAUGCUCCAAUGGGGUAUCUCAUCAUACACAAGCUUGGUGGAACAUAAACAUCAUAAAAUAUAGAUCAUGUCUACAAAAGGGAUCAAUAUACAACUCGGUCAAGCACAGACACUAAUCCUCAAUAUUAUCAUUACAUAACAUAACUAUUCAUUACUUUACAUCAUUACACAAUUUAUCAUGUCCACAUCUUCUACCUAUUACAUAAACCAACUUUACGCCUGUUGACCUCCUGGUCUACCCUGUACCUGCAAACCUGGGGGAUUAAGGGAAAGGGGUGAGCUACUAGAGCCCAGUGAGCAGAAUAGUAAAAACAUUUGAAAAUACAUGCUAUCAUGUAAUGCAUCACAUCACAGACAAGCCACAUUAAGGGUAAAUCUGUCACCAAAUAGUCCCAUAUUAACUCUGUGCUAGGGCGUAGUCAAAGGCUCACUGGACUUCCUGUAAACAUAACAUAACUUACACUGCCCCAGGGCCUUCUUAGGCACCUGGUCUUGGUGUCCCAUCUCUGUGCCAGAGCGUAGUCAAAGGCUCACUGGACUUUCUCAACUCUGUGCCAGGGCGUAGUCAAAGGCUCACUGGACUUCCUGCCAGGGACUAUUGGAUCAUCCAGCAUUUACCCAUAUCAACAACAUAAUAUGCAAUGCAACAUAUUCGUGAUUUCUAAUGCAACCAACCUAAGAUAUCUCAUGGCAUUCAUGAUGCAUGCACGUGCUCAAGGUUUAUAUCUCAUUUCAUUGAAACUUAAGAGUUUAUUCUACUCACCUCAGCUAGCUCUGACAAUGACUGAAGCAGCUGACUCACUG